rnacentral:rRNA from 1 species
CCUACGGGCGGCUGCAGUGGGGAAUAUUGGACAAUGGGCGAAAGCCUGAUCCAGCCAUGCCGCGUGUGUGAAGAAGGCCUUCGGGUUGUAAAGCACUUUCAGUGGGGAAGAAAGCCUUGGGGCUAAUACCCUCGAGGAAGGACAUCACCCACAGAAGAAGCACCGGCUAACUCCGUGCCAGCAGCCGCGGUAAUACGGAGGGUGCGAGCGUUAAUCGGAAUUACUGGGCGUAAAGCGCGCGUAGGCGGUCUGAUAAGCCGGUUGUGAAAGCCCCGGGCUCAACCCGGGAACGGCAUCCGGAACUGUCAGGCUAGAGUGCAGGAGAGGAAGGUAGAAUUCCCGGUGUAGCGGUGAAAUGCGUAGAGAUCGGGAGGAAUACCAGUGGCGAAGGCGGCCUUCUGGACUGACACUGACGCUGAGGUGCGAAAGCGUGGGUAGCAAACAGGAUUAGAUACCCGUGUAGUC